rnacentral:pre_miRNA from 10 species
AAUCCAGGGAAACAUUUCAGCACAGAGUUGAGUACGGAGACCAGUGUAUGGAAAUGCUUCUGUUUCAGG